GAUGAACGCUGGCGGCGUGCCUAAUACAUGCAAGUCGAGCGAACAGACGAGGAGCUUGCUCCUCUGACGUUAGCGGCGGACGGGUGAGUAACACGUGGAUAACCUACCUAUAAGACUGGGAUAACUUCGGGAAACCGGAGCUAAUACCGGAUAAUAUAUUGAACCGCAUGGUUCAAUAGUGAAAGACGGUUUUGCUGUCACUUAUAGAUGGAUCCGCGCCGCAUUAGCUAGUUGGUAAGGUAACGGCUUACCAAGGCAACGAUGCGUAGCCGACCUGAGAGGGUGAUCGGCCACACUGGAACUGAGACACGGUCCAGACUCCUACGGGAGGCAGCAGUAGGGAAUCUUCCGAAAUGGGCGAAAGCCUGACGGAGCAACGCCGCGUGAGUGAUGAAGGUCUUCGGAUCGUAAAACUCUGUUAUUAGGGAAGAACAAAUGUGUAAGUAACUAUGCACGUCUUGACGGUACCUAAUCAGAAAGCCACGGCUAACUACGGG
rnacentral:rRNA from 1 species